rnacentral:rRNA from 1 species
UACGUAGGGUGCAAGCGUUGUCCGGAAUUAUUGGGCGUAAAGAGCGUGUAGGCGGCCAGGUAGGUCGGUUGUGAAAACUGGAGGCUCAACCUUCAGAGGUCGACCGAAACCAUCUGGCUAGAGUCCGGAAGAGGAGAAUGGAAUUCCCGGUGUAGCGGUGAAAUGCGCAGAUAUCGGGAAGAACACCCGUGGCGAAGGCGGUUCUCUGGGACGGUACUGACGCUGAGACGCGAAAGCGUGGGGAGCGAACAGG